rnacentral:rRNA from 1 species
UACGUAGGAGACGAGCGUUAUCCGGAUUCACUGGGCGUAAAGGGUGCGUAGGUGGCGAGGUAAGUCGGAUGUGAAAGCUCGGAGCUCAACUCCGAAAUGGCAUUGGAAACUACCUUGCUCGAGGGUUGGAGGGGGGACUGGAAUUCUCGGUGUAGCAGUGAAAUGCGUAGAUAUCGAGAGGAACACCAGUGGCGAAGGCGAGUCCCUGGUCAACUCCUGACACUGAGGCACGAAAGCUAGGGGAGCAAACAGG